rnacentral:rRNA from 1 species
UACAGAGGUCUCAAGCGUUGUCCGGAAUUAUUGGGCGUAAAGGGCUCGUAGGCGGUCCGUCACGUCGGGAGUGAAAACUCGGGGCUCAACCCCGAGCCUGCUUUCGAUACGGGCGGACUAGAGGUAGGUAGGGGAGAACGGAAUUCCUGGUGUAGCGGUGGAAUGCGCAGAUAUCAGGAGGAACACCGGUGGCGAAGGCGGUUCUCUGGGCCUUACCUGACGCUGAGGAGCGAAAGCGUGGGGAGCGAACAGG